GACGAACGCUGGCGGCGUGCUUAACACAUGCAAGUCGAACGGUAAGGCCCUUCGGGGUACACGAGUGGCGAACGGGUGAGUAACACGUGGGUGAUCUGCCCUGCACUUCGGGAUAAGCCUGGGAAACUGGGUCUAAUACCGGAUAGGACCACUGCCUGCAUGGGUGGUGGUGGGAAGCUUUUGCGGUGUGGGAUGGGCCCGCGGCCUAUCAGCUUGUUGGUGGGGUGAUGGCCUACCAAGGCGACGACGGGUAGCCGGCCUGAGAGGGUGACCGGCCACACUGGGACUGAGAUACGGCCCAGACUCCUACGGGAGGCAGCAGUGGGGAAUAUUGCACAAUGGGCGCAAGCCUGAUGCAGCGACGCCGCGUGAGGGAUGACGGCCUUCGGGUUGUAAACCUCUUUCAGCACCGACGAAGCGCAAGUGACGGUAGGCGCAGAGGAAGGACCGGCCAACUACGUGCCAGCCGCCGCAGUAA
rnacentral:rRNA from 1 species